UUUUGAGUGGGGGGGAUUCUGAAGCAGUUGGAGAAUCCAUUAGAAGGGACUGCAGUGGACAUCUGGCCUUUACUGCUCUUUUAUGUCUACUGUUUCUUCCAAGCGUUUUUCUCUGACCUUUAACCACCAGAAUUCUGUUGGGGGAGAAUUUGGAAGGCCUCUUGCUGUUCCUGUGUGCCCUGUUCUACCUGCUUCAGGCCCGGAAUUUCCUGCAGAAUGGAAUGAGCUACACCCUGGAGACAAACUACUACCUGGCAUGGCUAGGCAUUUUCCUCUAUAUGCUGACAGGCUUCUUUUGCUUCCUCAACUAUGCGAAUUUCUGGUCUAUGAUGACACCUGGAGGGGCCUGGCUUUAGGCUUUGAGAUGGAUUCCUACCCUGGACCCUGCCCUCCCUGCUUCUUACCCUCACCCCAAGCCUUCCCAGCUGGGACUGUCGCUCUCCCUGGCUGAUCCCUUCUGUUCCCUCUUGACUCCUCAGCUUAAUAAACUGGCGUGUCCUCACUCUCCCCA
rnacentral:lncRNA from 1 species